rnacentral:rRNA from 1 species
GCAAGUCGAGCGGUAACAGGAAGUAGCUUGCUACUUCGGCGUCGAGCGGCGGACGGGUGAGUAAUGCCUAGGAAAUUGCCCUGAUGUGGGGGAUAACCAUUGGAAACGAUGGCUAAUACCGCAUAACGCCUUCGGGCCAAAGAGGGGGACCUUCGGACCUCUCGCGUCAAGAUAUGCCUAGGUGGGAUUAGCUAGUUGGUGAGGUAAUGGCUCACCAAGGCGACGAUCCCUAGCUGGUCUGAGAGGAUGAUC